GAUGAACGCUGGCGGCGUGCCUAAUACAUGCAAGUCGAGCGAACGGACGAGAAGCUUGCUUCUCUGAUGUUAGCGGCGGACGGGUGAGUAACACGUGGAUAACCUACCUAUAAGACUGGGAUAACUUCGGGAAACCGGAGCUAAUACCGGAUAAUAUUUUGAACCGCAUGGUUCAAAAGUGAAAGACGGUCUUGCUGUCACUUAUAGAUGGAUCCGCGCUGCAUUAGCUAGUUGGUAAGGUAACGGCUUACCAAGGCAACGAUGCAUAGCCGACCUGAGAGGGUGAUCGGCCACACUGGAACUGAGCCACGGUCCAGACUCCUACGGGAGGCAGCAGUAGGAAAUCUUCCGCAAUGGGCGAAAGCCUGACGGAGCAACGCCGCGUGAGUGAUGAAGGUCUUCGGAUCGUAAAACUCUGUUAUUAGGGAAGAACAUAUGUGUAAGUAACUGUGCACAUCUUGACGGUACCUAAUCAGAAAGCCACGGCUAACUACUUG
rnacentral:rRNA from 1 species